UUUCUCAUUACCAGCUGUCAGAAUUGAAGUACUGAAUAACAUGUAUUUAAAUUCAAAUGAUUUUAUAACUGCUGCAAGGUUCCCUUUGAAGAUUGGAGCAACUAUUGUUGAAAUGAGAAAGUCAAUUCAAUUUACAAUGACAAUUAUUCCACAUCUCCUUUAUAUUGAUGAUGUGUUCACCUUUUAGUUCAUCUUUGAAGAUCUUCCAACAGUUGUCAAGAUGAAGAACAGCAAUGUUUAUCCUUUAAUGUAGUGACUGCAUCCUAGUAAAUAAAUGGACUGAUUUCUAG